UCUCUCUGUGGCUGGUUAAAGCGCUGCACCAGAAUCGCAGGGGCGCAGGUUGGAAUCCUGCCACAGGAC